ensembl:snRNA U6 U6 spliceosomal RNA
GUGCUCCCUUCAGCAGUACAUAAACUAAAAUUAGAAUGAUACAGAGAAGAUUAGCAUGACCCCUAUACAAGGAUGACAUGCAAAUUGGUGAAGCAUUCCAUAUUUAA